rnacentral:rRNA from 1 species
AUUGAACGCUGGCGGCAGGCCUAACACAUGCAAGUCGAACGGUAGCACAGAGAGCUUGCUCUCGGGUGACGAGUGGCGGACGGGUGAGUAACGUCUGGGAAACUGCCCGAUGGAGGGGGAUAACUACUGGAAACGGUAGCUAAUACCGCAUAACGUCGCAAGACCAAAGUGGGGGACCUUCGGGCCUCACACCAUCGGAUGUGCCCAGAUGGGAUUAGCUAGUAGGUGGGGUAAUGGCUCACCUAGGCGACGAUCCCUAGCUGGUCUGAGAGGAUGACCAGCCACACUGGAACUGAGAAACGGUCCAGACUCCUACGGGAGGCAGCAGUGGGGAAUAUUGCACCAUGGGCGCAAGCCUGAUGCAGCCAUGCCGCGUGUAUGAAGAAGGCCUUCGGGUUGUAAAGUACUUUCAGCGGGGAGGAAGGCGGUGAAGUUAAUAACUUCACCGAUUGACGUUACCCGCAGAAGAAGCACCGGCUAACUCCGUGCCAGCCGCCGCGGUAA